UACGUAGGGGGCAAGCGUUGUCCGGAAUCAUUGGGCGUAAAGCGCGUGUAGGCGGUUCUGUAAGUCUGCUGUGAAAGUCCAGGGCUCAACCCUGGGAUGCCGGUGGAUACUGCAGGGCUAGAGUACGGAAGAGGCGAGUGGAAUUCCCGGUGUAGCGGUGAAAUGCGCAGAUAUCGGGAGGAACACCAGUGGCGAAGGCGAGUCUCUGGACGACUCCUGACACUGAGGCACGAAAGCUAGGGGAGCAAACAGG
rnacentral:rRNA from 1 species